AUAAAUGUGGGGGUGAUUGGUUACGAUUCGGAUGAUUAGGGACAGGAUGUGCGAGUACAUUCUGGUACCGAGGGAUUUCAAUGUUUCUUGCUACCUUACUAAUUGAUGUUUCUGCUUUGAAUGUCGCAUAGUUAACUAUACUUUAGUGUGUCCAUAUGACACUAUAUCAGAAACUUUGUGGUUGUGAUUCUCCAAACAUUCUGUGAUAGUCAUUAUGAGUGAAC
rnacentral:lncRNA from 1 species